rnacentral:lncRNA from 1 species
UAUAAAGACCUUCAACUUACUCUUCUCUCCUCUUUAUUACUUAUUAAUUCUACUCUUUCCUUUCUUCUGCUAUUUAGUAUCAGUGGAAUAAGCUAUUAUCCUCUAACUGGCUAUACUUCAGAAAUAUGUAUCUUUAGUUCUAUGUGGAUGGUUCACUUUGUUUUCUCAGCUCAUUAUAGUAUCUUAGCUUUAAGAAAAAGAUAUAAAAUUCUCCUCUAGGAUAGCAGAACAAGGAAGGGGAAAUACCUUCUUGUCUUAUGUAGUUUUCUAGUCUUCUUAACAUUUUUCUCUCUCUCUCUCUUUUUUUUUUGCCCAUAUGGUAAAGGGAUAUUAAUUGUUUUUAAAAGCAGAAUUAUGCAAUUAUCCUAUACCUUUUCAUUUCCCUUAGAGCAACUCUCUCUUAUUUUUACAUGCUCUUUAGCUCUUGAAAAGAGUGGCAGAUUUCUAGAUGCUCUAACCUCAGUGACUAAAUUUCUAGUAAAAUUCCUCUAAGGUCAAAAAUGUCUGGAUUGUAGUUACGAAUGUUCACGGGAACUAUAAUAAGAGCCACUUGAAGGUCAUUGGGGUCUAAUAUAGAGUAGUAUAAUUUGGUUAUUUUAAAUGCUCAGGUAUUCAUUCAUCCACUCAACAAAUAGUGAAGUGCCUAUUACGUACCAAAAAGUAAUAAAAAACUGGGGAAGUGAUUACUCUGAACGAGCUCAGAAUCAAGAAUGAGUGAUACAUAAACAUAGACUUAUAGCGUAGUAGGAUGGUGGGAUCAGUUUCAUGAUACAGUGGCCAUGGAUUGCUAGGAGCACUGAAGGGGCACUUAAUGUGGGUAAAAGAGAAGGAGUCUCAGAAAUGACAUUUAAAUUUUUUUUCUCUAAUAAAUAGUUUUACAAAGUAAAGACAUAAACUUUAAAUCUGUGUUUUAAGAAAGAUGAGUUUCAAACAGAUAUAGAAAGUAUUAUGCAAAGUUUCUGAUAAAUAUGCAGUACAAAAAGUAUACAUUGAUAUGCUAUCUGUACCUGGAACUGUAUGAAGCAAUGUACUAAGCAAGAAAAUAAAGAGAAAGCUCCUGCUCACUCAAAAAUAUAAGAAGACAAAAAAUCAGCUGCUUAUUAAAUGAUCACUAAUCAAACUAUAUUAACAUUUUAGUCCAUCAUCAUAUCAACAUAAAUUUACAGUGAGAUGAUGAUUCCUUUCAGUCUUUUUUUUUUUUUUCUUUUUGAGACAGGGUCUUGCUCUGUUGCCCAGGCUGGAGUACAGUGGCACAAUCACAGCUCACUGCAGGCUUGAUCUUCGAGGCUGAGGCUAUUCUCCAACCUCAGCUUCCAAGCAGCUGGGACUACUUGGAAGGCAUGUACUACCAUGCCUGGUUAAAUUUUAAAAAUUUUUUUGUAGAGAUGAGGUCUCACUAUGCCCAGGCUGGUCUCACUAUGCCCUGCACUCAAGCAAUCCUCCUGCUCUGGCCUCCCAAAGUGCUGGGAUUACAAACAUACAGUAAGAUAGAAGAAAUAAAUUAAAUGUUUUAUAGUAUAGGAGGGUGACUAUACUUAACAAAAAUGUAUUGUAUUAGGGGUAAUAGACACCAGAAAUACCCUCAUUUGAUCACUAUGCAUUAUAUACAUGUAACAAAGUUUCACAUAUACCCUGUAAAUUUGUACCAAUAAAUAAAGAAAUAUUAAAAAAAAAACAAGUUCUGUCAAGAGACUAUUAGACCAGGAAAAUAUAGUUGGUCCUUUGUAUCCAACUGUGAUAGAAAAUGUUUGACAAAAAAAUUUUAAACCCACAGCAAUAAAAAUAACAUAAAAUAAAUAUAGUAGGACAAUUACGUACAGAGCACUCACAUUAUAUUAGGUAGUAUAAGUAAUCUAGGGGUGUGCUCAGAGCAGGGGGCUGAAGAAUGGCUCCUCUGUUUAUAACACAUGGAACAGGCAUCUGAGGUCACUGUGACAAGGGGCACAAAACUUGUGACUCCCUAAGAACAAAUGUCCUACAAGUGUAACAAAAAAAGUAAUCCAGAGGUGAUUUACAGUGUAUGAGAGGAUGUGCAUAGGUUUUAUGCAAAUAUUAUGCCAUUUUAUAUAAGGGACUUGGGCAUCCACAGACUUUGGUAUGAGGGGAUGGAGUGGAGUCCUCAAAUCAAUCCCUCUUUGUAUACUAAGAGACAACUGUAUAUCUAACAUGUAUAUGUGCCUCCAUCCCCAGAAGGAUGACAUUUGAAAAAUGACACUGAUAAAAACAGACAAAAAAUAGAAGAAAAGGCAUAGUGUUCAUCCAGGGUUGCAUACACAAUAAAAGACAAAUUAACAGUUUAAUUCUGACUUUAAGGAUCCUGAGCAAAACUGGCAUCCUCUGCCCUCAUGUUCAAAUAAAUUCAGUCCUUCUUUCUGCUGUCAUCCAUUGCUUCUUUAAACAAAUUAGAUCAUUGUCUUUAAAUCAAGUAACUGUUAACUAUAGGCUUUGAAAUGUCCAUUUUUAAUGACAGCUUUUACUCUAAGUAUAUCUCAGACUCCAUGUGAGAGGCAGCACCCCUAAAAGCAUUAGCUUCCAUAUCAGAAUGUCCAUUCACUUUUGCCUACCUGCUGGCUAACUGUACUCUCAGAUAUGGGCACUCCACGCUAUUUCUGUAAAAGCGCAAAAAAGCCUUUCUGUUUUCUAUUUUACUGGCACUAUGCACAGCACAAAUGGAUGUUAUGUCCUCACAGGGUCGAGUGUUCUUUUAGGAAUGCAAAGGCCAAGACUUGACUCUCACUGGGCGAGCAGUAUGGAAUGUGACAGCUGGUUGUUUCAGGGCAACUGAUCAUUGCCACAGUGAGCAAUUUCUUCUUCAAUAAGCAGCUGCCCCAGACAUUUACUGAGGUCAUACAUCAAUCCCAAUACAUUUCCCCAUCCCCGGUUCAGGGGAUGCUCAGCAUGGAAACUAAAAGCAAAGGAGGAAAGGACAGACUACAAAUCAUAGCUAUCCCUCUCUCUCAGCCUCAGAAGAUCUCCACUGCAAUGACAGGACUCUAGACAGUCUAAUCUGAGCCAAAUACAAACUUUACUAAGAAAACUAGAACUUAACAAUAUAUAGAGGAGUUAGGGGAGAAUUUUCCCUAGUGCUCUUUUCAAACUUUUCUUUGACUCAUUUAUUCAUUCUGCCAUAAAUACUUUAUUCAACAGCUAACUACUAAGUGCCUUUAUGUACCAGUAGUGAACAAAACAGAUGAAAAUCCCUGUCCUCAGAGAGCUGACAUUCUAAUCAGUGUUAGGCUUGGGAAUCCCACCCCCACAUCCUCUCCCCACCUGCUUUACAGAUGAGAAAACUGAGAGUGAGAGAGUUGACAUAACCGAUCCAGGCUUUCUGACUUCUCUUCUGAAUCCUAAGGAAUCAUCAAGUUAUGAGCAAUCUGAUGUUCAGAAAACUUACAUAACUAGUUCAAGAAUAUGCAGACCCAGACACUCUCCAGACUUGAUCCCAAGAGCUACAAUUCUUUCUACUACUCCCCACAGGAAAAAGUGAAAUCAGCCCUAGUACAAAAUAUAGGCUUUUUUUUUUUUUUUUUUUUUGAGACAGAGUCUCACUCUGUCGCCCAGGCUGGAGUGUAAUGAUGCGCUCUCGGCUCACUGCAACCUCUGGCUCCCGGGUUCAAGCAAUUCUCCUGCCUCAGCCUCCUGAGUAGCUGGGAUUACAUGUGCCCGCCACCACGCCCCGGCUAAUUUUUGUAUUUUUAGUAGAGACGGGUUUCACCAUGUUGGUUAGGCUAGUCUCAAACUCCUGACCUUGCGAUCUGCCCGCCUCGGCCUCCCAAAGUGCUGGGAUUACAGGUGUGGGCCACCGCGCCUGGCCAAAAUAUAGGCUCUUAUGGACUCCUCUUUUAUACUCAAGGAAUCAUGGAGACCAAGAUCCAGUACAUAC